GUUUGCUCAGGCACUCAACCUCCAUCAACCCGGCGUCUUGCAUGCAAAGAACUCUGAUAUGGAGUGACUGAGAGUGUGCUUGCAAGCCAUGUUAGUCUGCUCCUGAAAAGACCAUUUCCUGCAAGAUUCGAAUCCUGCUUCAUAAGCCAAUAGCUGUCCUUAAAUACCAAGCUCAGGGAGAGCACACUGUGGGUCAUCAUCUUGACCCAUUCUCCCAACUGCCACUCAAACCAGCUUCUUGCACAUCACCACUGGGACCUGCAAUAACGUGUAUUUAUUAUUGUUUAUGUCAUGUGUGUGAGUAUUUUGCUUGUAUGUUUGUCUGUGCACCAUGUGCACGCCUAAUACUGAAACAGUAGACCUGAGGGCCAACAGUCCAGAGUGGUACCAUCCACAAUGCACCAAACAAGUUGCUUGUAUUCUAAAAGAAAAGUGGGGCAAAUGUGCUUCCACCAAUCAUAGGAACUUGCAUGAAAACUGAAGCAAUCAUGGCACAGUCUUUCAUGUGAAGUGGGGGGUCUUUGGUAUCAGUUACAGGAUUUCUGUUUGGUCUCUUUAUGGAGUGCUUCCCCUCUGGCUUGGAUAAAAAUGGCUGAGGGUCAUCCAAAGUUCAAUAAGGCCUCCAACUUGGCCAGUGCAGGCUGUCUGGAGGAUAUCUUCAGUGGUGCCUGUAGUGGUGCACUGCAGCUGCUGGGGUAUCGUCAGAGUGACUGUAAAGUGUCCAAAAGAACUGCCUGCAAUGAGGGCAGUUAGGCUGGCUGCUUGCCUAGCAGUCAUGUAGUCAAAGCAGCUGGGGCACCAGGGAAGGGUCUGACAGCUGUUAGGGAAUCACAGCACUCCAGUCCUCAAUGUGUUUGUCUAUUUAAAGGAGAAAAUAAACACAGAAAGAUGUGAUUGUACUAAAACCUUAUCACUAAUGUUAAUGGUGACUUAACAGUGUGCUUAAAGGCUUUCCCAACUCACUUCAUUCUGCUAUUGUUAGCCUGUCAGGAAACAGAAGAAAACAAGGACAUCACAGCAAAGGAGAGCUACAGACUCAUGUGCUUGAUAAACACAGCAGUAAAACUUCUCAACGAAACAUCCCCGGGUUAAAUUCAAUAGCUCAUUAAAAAGAGAAUUUGCCAUGAUCGAGUUGGCUGAAUCUCAAGGGUGUACAGGGAUGGUUCAAUGUAUGUGUCUUAGUUUCACUUUGUUGCUGUGACAAAGACCAUAACCAAAGCCAACUUGGGAAGGGUGUUAGUACUUUUCUAUUGCUCUGAUAAAAUGCUAUGAGCAAGACAACUUAUAGAAGGAAGUGUUUAUUUAGGCUUAUGGUUCCAGAGGAACAGGUAUCCAUUACCAACACAGCUGGGAGGUACUGCAGCAGGGAGGCCCGGAGACUGGAGCAGCGGACUGAGUUCACAUCUUAAACCACAAGCAGGAACCAAAGAGCAAUCUAACAGUGGUGAGAGACUUGUGAGCCUCAAAGCCCAACCACCCCCAGUGACAUAUUUCCCCUAGCAAGCCCACACCUCCAGUCUCCCUAAACGGUGUCAGCAACUGGAAACCAAAUAUUCAAACAGCCAAGAAUAUGAAAGACAUCUCAUUCCAAAGAUCUUGUUCUACUGACUGUCCCUAUACUCUUCAGACACUAGCAUAAUUUAUUUUUUCUACCUUUAAAAGUUCCAAACUCGUUCAUAAUCACAACACUGUUUAAAAGCAUAGUCCUAGGGUCUCCUCCAAUGGCUGGGAUGACCUGAAGAAAGACACCUAAGUCCUGGUGGCCUGGGGAGCACAGAAGAAAAACACUGUGGAGAAAGGUGAAACCAAAGACUCCACAGUGGUGAGGAACAGGCAGAUAUGAGGAAGCCAUGAGGUGGUCCUGGCCCCAGUUGCUGCCAAGGGUCCUUGAAGUGGAAACUUAAGGGUUCUUGGGAAAGUCAGUUGUGUUGGUUGGUGUUUUGCUGGGGCAAACAUGUAAAGGAGUGUUUUCCUGAAAUGGAUACAAGCAAAAGGACAUUUUGCUAAAGCAGACAUGUGAAGGCAAGUUUCACUGAAUCUGACACAGGUGAAAGGCUAAGGCAGAACAUUUUGCUGAAGCAGACACAGGAGAAAGGAUGUUCUGCUGAAGUGUGGUGAAGGAGUCUUCGCUAUCAACAUGCGUGUAUUGGUCUGCUUUCCAUUGUGUUGAGCUCCAUUUGUUGGGACUCUAGAGAGAAAUGCACCAAAAAAUUUUUGGUGGUGUGCUGUGGCUUCUUGUCAUUUCCAAGGACUUGGGCAAUUGGCAGAAUGAUGUCAGCUGAGACAGACUCACGUGCUGAGGCAAGACAAGUGUUGAAGCAAGUCCAGUGUAGGACACAUGAUGUUUGGAGAGAGUAUAAAUAGGACUCCUUGGACCGUGAUGGAGGCAAAGCUUGGUUUGUUCAUUGCAAUGAGUCAUCUAUUGUUGAUCCCACAUCUUCAAUGAUCUUAGCUUCACUGAGAGAGACACAGCCCAGAACUUUUCUUGACACUCCUGCUGGUCUGAAUUCUCCCCUCCUGCUGACUUGUGCUGAUUCGGCAGAGACCUCUCUGUCUCUGCUAGGUUGUGCCACCACUGCUGAUUCGUGUUUGACACCCCGAGUCUACCAAACUGGACUGUUGGUAUAUCCAUGAAGCGUUUUCGAGUGGAUCGAGCUGCUCUUGCUAACCCACUGCUGAUUCAAAGAACGAUCUCUAAACAGGUCCACUUCCCCCAUAUCUUUCUUUUCCACUCUCUCUGGUGGGUGGUGGCCUAGAAGGGAGGUUAAAGUGUUUAAGAACCAUCAUUAAAAAUAGAUUUUGAAAAAAUUAAAGUUACAGGUCCUGCUGCAGCUGGAAUCUGGGUCAGUGUUUGUAGCCUGAGUUAUCACCAAAGGGCAAGCAGAUGUCCAUGGCCUGGGCUGUCACCUGAGGCUAUGGAGACUUCCAUGUCCCUGCUGUUGUUGGAGCCAUACCUGAGUCUGUGGUCCUAUGGUAACCAGGGUCCAUGUGAUUUCUCAGGCCCAUGUUACCAUCAAAGGCCAUGCAGGUGUCCCUGGUCUGUACUGCCAUCUGAGGGACUGUGCUGCCACCUAAGUUAGCUCUGCCCCCUCACAAGCCACCACACUUGGGGACGGUAGGCCCUGAACCUCAUCUGGGCAGCACGGUAGAGUGGGUCCUCG
rnacentral:lncRNA from 1 species